UGACAGGAAAACCCUGGUGGGAAUUGAACUAAAAUUGCUUGCUGUCUCAGAAAAGAGCCUGGGCAGAAAUGUCACCUUUUCACUCAAGGCAUUGGCUUCAGGCUCUCUCCAAGUCACAUUGACUGAGUUUCCUGACAACCACCCGUUUUUCCUCUUUGAAGCCCCACAGCUCCAGACGACCCUCUGGAGGCUGAGCCCCCAGGUUAUUUUAUGGCCUUUCACAUCCGUCCGUCAACAGACUGGCUCGGGGAGCUCUGUGGGCAGAAACGGGAGGAUCCAGCACUCCUUCUCUCCAGAGGAUGCAGCAUGUAAGGCACCAUCUUGGAGGAAAAGAAUGGCUUCACCAGACCCAAAUCUGCCAGAGCCUUGAUCUUAGACUUCCCAGUCUCCAGAACAGUAAGCCAAUACACUUGUCUUUUAUGAAUUACUCAGUCUCAGGUAUGCAGCACAAAACAGACUAAGGCACAUAGCUACAAAAAUCCAAGUGUGGGGAAGUUAAAUAAAAGGUGGUGUGAUGGGACACUGGGCCAGAGAACAUUUUAUCAUGAGGCCUCAGUAUCCCCUAUCCUCAGUUGGGUAGGCGCUAUCAAGGAGGGGUUCUGUGCCACCUCAGGCUGAGGAUGGGCCAUAGUUUAGUAAUCUGGUAGAAGGAGGGAAACUUAACCUAAAGUUGGUUUAACCAACAGAUUGUGGCUAAUCAUUUACGUGGUGAAGAACGGGAAUUUAGAGGUUUUAUGUCUGGCCUUGUCAUAGGUAAACAAGGCAUGUUUUCGUGAGUCUUAUCGAAGUCAUAUGGGAAAGGGUGAUUUUUUGCACUAAGCCCUUUCUAGGAACACAAAGAAUGAGAGGAUUUGUCACACUUUGCUCUUUUCUAAGAGCGCAGGGCUCAGGUCAAAUUUAACAUUGUCGAUAGAGUAAUUAUAGAGAUAAUAGGGCUGUUUGUUUAAAAUCAGAUCAUCACAGAAAAAUCCGGUUUGAAUGCAAUUUCUUUUAGUGUUUGGACAUGGUGUUGUGGCUCUUCAGUAAUUGGACAUUUCUUUUAUAAAAAUAGAAGUCCACAACAUAGACCCUUUCCAGGAUGUCGUUAGAAAGAAUACUGCAUUAAUC
rnacentral:lncRNA from 1 species